rnacentral:rRNA from 1 species
UACGAAGGGGGCUAGCGUUGCUCGGAAUCACUGGGCGUAAAGGGUGCGUAGGCGGGUCUUAAGUCAGGGGUGAAAUCCUGGAGCUCAACUCCAGAACGGCCUUUGAUACUGAGGAUCUUGAGUUCGGGAGAGGUGAGUGGAACUGCGAGUGUAGAGGUGAAAUUCGUAGAUAUUCGCAAGAACACCAGUGGCGAAGGCGGCUCACUGGCCCGAUACUGACGCUGAGGCACGAAAGCGUGGGGAGCAAACAGG